rnacentral:lncRNA from 1 species
AGAUCACUCAGUUCAGCGGGGUUAUCGACACGCAAAGCAAUCUCUCGAAAGAGAAGAAAGCACUGCACUGCGGUCUGUUGAGCUUGAAUUUUAUGGAGUCAUCAUCGUGAUCUCAUACUAUGCAGUAUGCACAACAAAUAUCGAAAUCCAGAAAAACAAAUAACAAAUAACAAAGGAAAACAAAAUCAGCUGCAAUAGAAAAAA